ensembl:lncRNA
UUUUGGAGACUACUUCAUCCACUACAUGUUUGGGUGCUUUGUGACACCACAUCAGAUCAUCGAUACAUUCUUCUUAGAUAGGCCACUUUGAACCAGUUACACAUUCUUCCUGGACCUUUCCAUGAAAUGCAGGAGGUUGCAUUUCUCUACAUCGCUAAUGCAUAUUUAGCAUUUUUUGGGUGAUAUCUCAAGGGAAAUAGAAGUCCAAUAAAUAUUGAGAGGGAAUUUGAGGAACAUUGGUGAGUUAUGAAUAUUUCCACCUGUUCAUCUGUCCGUUAAUCUCUGUCGAGAAGAAAAGCAAACAAGAAUGCAGAUAAAAGGCAUGCAUUGCAUUCAUUGACAUUGAAGAGCAGAGACAUAGAGCCACCAUCCUCUCAACUCUAGGGACCAUCCUCCUGCCACAUUGCCCUCUCUUUCUAGAAACUUCAUAUCUAAGCAGACAAGAAAGGCUAAAUACUUAGCUGGUGCCCCUAUAUAACUUGAGACACUAAUUUUAGAGGACCAGUUUACUCUGGGAACUUUAAGCAAAGGCUUGACAACCUCAUAUGCAUUCCCUUCCUUUUCUUCUUUAUUCCCUGUACACUCUGCCCUUUCUUCCAACUUUGCUUUCUUUUUCGCUGCCUCUUUUUUUUCUUUCUUUCUUAAUCCUGUCCUUCCCCUUGUUUCUCUUUCCUCUCAGGACUGGAAAGAGCAUUGAAUUAGGAGCCAUAAGACCUGGUUUGCUACUCCAGCUCUGUCCUCACAACAGUGAAAUCUACAUUCUUUCUUGGCUUCGAAUUCCUUAGUGAAGCAAGCAGAGAACAUCAGACUGCAGCAAAGGACUAGGCAAUGACCUCUUAAAAAUCUGCUGUCUCCUUGGUUUGUGUUUUCCAUAGGUUGGGAACAGUACAUGUUGCAUGUUUGUGUAUAUUUUUUUCUUAAUUUUGGAGUAAUGAAUGUACGAAAGAAGCCCUUCUUUGUGACCAUUCUGCAUGCCAAGAGAUAUGAUGGCAUUUCCUCUAGAGACUUUCAGAAGAAAAGAUUAAAUAAAAGAUUUAUAAUAUGCAAGAGUUUGUCUAUGAUAUCCUGAUAAGAAUAAAAGGCAUAAUUUGAACUUGUAUGUAUGCUACAACCUCAAAAAUUACACAAAGUUGAGAAAAGUCCUGAAGAGAAAUCUUCCAAAAUGUUAGCUAUUGUUGCCUCUAGGAUAAUACUGUAUCUUCUUUAACAAAUUUUUGUGCUAAUUUUUCAAAUCAGAAAAAGAUAAAGAAAUUGAGAAAAAUAUAAAUAUUUGAAGAUGACAAAAAGUUAUGUAUGUUUUUAAAACUUCGGAAAAUUUAGGAAAGCAAAAAAGAAAUAACUCUUAAUUUUCUUCACCCAGCAAUUGCCAUGUCCAACAUUUGUUAUUUUCUGUCAAACAUCUUACUUUUUUAAGAUUAAAAUAAUGUUCACAGGGCAAAGGAUCUAAAUAGACAUUUCUCAAAGAAGAUAUACAAAUGGUCAGUAAGAAUAUGAAAAGAUACUUGGAGUUAUUAGUAAUUAGGGAAAUGCAAAUUAAAACUACAAAGACAUAUACCAUACAACACUUUAUAUCCCCUAGGAUGGCUAGAAUCAAAAAGACAGAUAACAACGAGUAUUGGUGAAGAGACAAAAAAAUUGGAACGCUCCUCCAUUGCCAGUGAGAAUCUAAAAAGGAGCAACAACUUUUGAAAACAGUCUGGCAGUUCCUCAAAAGGUUAAAUGCAGCAUUGUGAUAUGAUCUAGCAAUUCCAUUCCAAUGUAUCUAUCCAAGAGAAAUGAAAACAUAUAUCUACACAAAAACAUGUACACAAAUGUUCAUAGCAGCAUUGUUCACAAUAGACAAAAAGUGAAAACAACUCAAAUAUCCAUCAGCUGAUGAAUGGAUAAAAAAAAUGUGGUAAAAAAAAGAAAGAAAGAAAAUGUGGUAUAUAUUCACACAAAGGAAUAUUAUCCAGCAAUAAAAAGGAAUGAAGUAUCAAUGCCUGCUACAAUGUGGAUGAACCUUGAAAACAUUAUGCUAACUGAAAUAAACCAGACAUAAAAGGCCACAUGUUGUUUAAUUAAAUUUAUAGGAAAUAUCCAGUAUAGUCAAAUCUGCAGAGACAGAAAGAGGUUGCCUUGGGCAGGGAAGAGGGGGCAUAAUAGGAAAAUGAGAGAGUGACUGCUAACAGGUACAGGAUUAGGGGUAGAGGAGGUGAUGAAAAUGUUCUAAAGUUAAUGAUGAAUGCAUAACUUUGUGAAAUACUGAAAACCAUUGAAUUGUAUACUCUAAAUAGG